rnacentral:rRNA from 1 species
AUUGAACGCUGGCGGCAGGCCUAACACAUGCAAGUCGAGCGGGGUUUUCGGACCUAGCGGCGGACGGGUGAGUAAUGCGUAGGAAGCUACCCGAUAGAGGGGGAUACCAGUUGGAAACGACGGUUAAUACCGCAUAAUGUCUACGGACCAAAGUGUGGGACCUUCGGGCAACAUGCUAUCGGAUGCGCCUACGUGGGAUUAGCUAGUUGGUGGGGUAAUGGCUCACCAAGGCGACGAUCCCUAGCUGGUUUGAGAGGAUGAUCAGCCACACUGUAACUGAGUCACGGUCGAGACUCCUACGGGAGGCAGCAGUGGGGAAUAUUGGACAAUGGGCGCAAGCCUGAUCCAGCCAUGCCGCGUGUGUGAAGAAGGCCUUCGGGUUGUAAAGCACUUUCAGUAGGGAGGAAGGGUGUUGUGUUAAUAGCACAGCAUUUUGACGUUACCUACAGAAGAAGCACCGGCUAACUCUGUGCCAGCCGCCGCAGUAAUAC